rnacentral:lncRNA from 1 species
AAACAGCAGAGUCUCACUGAGUUGCUUAGCGCCUUGCUAAGUUGCCAAGACUGGUUUUGAACUCGAGAUCCUCCUGCCUUAGCCUCCAGAGCUAAUGGGAUUACAGGCAUGUGCCACAGAGGUCUGUUGUUUUUGGUUUCUUAAGUUGUCUUAGAGAAUUUACGUAAUAACUGUUUAUAUUUUGUCAAAUUUUAUUUAUUAGUUGGCAUGAUCUAAGGUGUCUACAAAUAUCAACAUCACGAUAAUCUAUGAUUAUGCUACAGACGUGAUAAACACAAUAAAAAGCUUUCACAGUUGGUGUAGCCAAACUAACACAAGGCAAUAUAUUUAAGUGCUUCAAAUUUAAUCUCUAUAAUUUAUAUGUGCCAAUACUAAUUAUAAUCUAGUACUCAGUGAAAACUAGUGAAUUUCAAGGACUGUGGUAAUAUUUUAAGUUUAAUCCUCAUGACACUAUUUUAAGAUAUUUUUUGUAAUUUUAAACUUAGAGAAGGUGGUAUUUGAAGGCAUUACAUAAUUUGUGAAAAAUCAUGAAAACAGUGGAAGUAAAAUAUUUAAAUGCAACUUUAUUAACUUUGCCUUCCAAAUCUUGGAAAAAAAAGUGAUAUAUUCCCUAGUUUAUUAAUGGAUAUUUUCAGUUUACAAGUUCAUUGAUUUCUUUAUCACCCAGUUGGGACUAAACAUGAUCGGUGCUGUAACCAUGAUGAUAAUUUACAUGUAUUUUUUUUUCAAAAUGCUACUCAUAAAUAAUUUCUUUAGGAAAUAAAUUCAAUUAGAUUGCCUAUUAAUGCAUUGUGUCCUAAAAAUCCAGAGAAACUCAAACAUGGUUACAUUAUAGAAAGUAUAGAGAGCAGAGUAGAGGGUAUUUGGAAUACUUUAGAUUGUUAAUCAUACAGCUGAACAAAAGCUUCUUAUAAAUCUUUAGUUGUAAGCCCAGGGUACUUGAAGCCAUAGUCUUUGAUAACACCAAAACAAAUUUUUACAGGUUUGAUUCGACAGUAGCUGGACUUAGAAGAAAUAUAUUAAUGUGCAAAGAAUGUCUUCAAAUAGGGUGAGAAGAGAAGUCAGAGAAGAAAAAAAAAAGACAUUUGUAAUAUACUGUGCAAAAUCACCAAAGCAAUAGCUUUGGAAGUCUUACAUUUGCAGAAAAUCUUGUGGGUCUGAAUUCAAUCUAAAGCUGUCAAAAAUACUGAUGAAAAAAUGUGUCUUUAUAUUUAAAAAGAAACAUCAUUUGAGGGACCUGCUUCUAAAUCCAAUUCUCUCCAUCGGAAGGUAAAUCUAUCCUCAAGUUGGACUGUUUAGGCAUGAAGAUUUAAUUAAAAUGCUGAAGAUGCCAACAAAAUUACUCUUUCACUGAGGCACUGAAAUAACUAUUGACAAAUAACAAGUGCAUUGAGGAUUGUAAUCAUGUUUCUGUGAAUUGUUGUUAUACCUAUUUUCAAUAAAUAAUUAGCUUCAAUAAGCCUCAUUUCUUUCAACACCAGCAUGGUCAAUAUUCAAAGUACAGCGUGUUUCUAAAACAGGGUCUGCAUAUGUGUCAAGUUUCUGAAUCAAUUCUGCUGUGUUGCUUUACUGAUUUACUCUGGUUCAGUUACCCAAGUUGUGACUAAAAUUAGUCAGACUUUCAAUUAUGUCUAUGAAAUGGAAUCAGAAAAUAUCAUUUCCUCUUUCUCAGUCAACUCAUGUCAAAACUGCAAGCACAGAUUAUACUUGUAACACACAUACUGACCUGGGCAAAUCUGACCAACUGGUUUCCAGAGCUUUUUUUUCUUUAAUCUUGCUUG